rnacentral:rRNA from 1 species
GUGGGGAAUUUUGGACAAUGGGCGCAAGCCUGAUCCAGCCAUUCCGCGUGCAGGAUGAAGGCCUUCGGGUUGUAAACUGCUUUUGUACGGAACGAAAAGCCUCUGGUUAAUACCCGGGGGUCAUGACGGUACCGUAAGAAUAAGCACCGGCUAACUACGUGCCAGCAGCCGCGGUAAUACGUAGGGUGCGAGCGUUAAUCGGAAUUACUGGGCGUAAAGCGUGCGCAGGCGGUGAUGUAAGACAGUUGUGAAAUCCCCGGGCUCAACCUGGGAACUGCAUCUGUGACUGCAUUGCUGGAGUGCGGCAGAGGGGGAUGGAAUUCCGCGUGUAGCAGUGAAAUGCGUAGAGAUCGGGAGGAACAUCCGUGGCGAAGGCGGCCAUCUGGACCAGCACUGACACUGAGGCACGAAAGCGUGGGGAGCAAACAGGAUUAGAAACCCCUGUAGUCC